UUGAAGUUAAAUGAGGUGAUAAGGGCAGAGCCCUGAUCCAACAGGAUAAUGUUGUUAUAAGAAGGGACACCAAGAGAGAUCACUCCCUCUCUUUCUACCAUGCAAGGACACAGCGAAAAGACGGCUAUCUACAAGCCAGGAGGAGAGUCCUCACCAGAACCAAACCCUGCUGGACCUUGAUCUUGGACUUCCUAGCCUCUAAAACUGUGAAAACAUAAAUUUUUGUUGUUUAACCUGCACAGAUCCAUGGUAUUUGUUUAUUAUGGCAGCUCAGGCAGACUAAGACAGGCCAUCAUAAGACGUGAACAUUUUGGACCUUCUCUUGUGCCCUAAUAAACAGAAAUCAGAAAAUAGUUACAAGGCAGUCUGAGACCUCAGGGCUUAUUGUUGCAAGUGAAAAGCAGGCUGAAAGAAAAAAGGAAGAAAACUUUGUGAGUGUGCUGCCAAGCCUCACUUUGCUGUCAUGAUUGGAAGGUUUGACGGUAUCCAGAAUUACUCAUGAAAGAUGGAAGAGCUGCAGCAUUACAAUGAAAGCCAUCUUGCAA